rnacentral:rRNA from 1 species
UAUGUAGGUGGCAAGCGUUGUCCGGAUUUACUGGGUGUAAAGGGCGUGCAGCCGGAGAGACAAGUCAGAUGUGAAAUCCACGGGCUCAACUCGUGAACUGCAUUUGAAACUGUUUCCCUUGAGUGUCGGAGGGGUAAUCGGAAUUCCUUGUGUAGCGGUGAAAUGCGUAGAUAUAAGGAAGAACACCAGUGGCGAAGGCGGAUUACUGGACGAUAACUGACGGUGAGGCGCGAAAGCGUGGGGAGCAAACAGG